GAAAACCACCCCCCAAAAACACACAAAACAACGAGAGAGAGAGAGAGAGAGAGAGAAGAGGGAGUGAGAGAGUAUGUGGUGCUUUCGUCUUUUCCGCGUUUUUCCUUGUUUUUCUUCU
rnacentral:ribozyme from 12 species